rnacentral:rRNA from 1 species
GCACAAGCGGUGGAGCAUGUGGAUUAAUUCGAUGCAACGCGAAGAACCUUACCUGGGUUUGACAUGCACAGGACGUGCCUAGAGAUAGGUAUUCCCUUGUGGCCUGUGUGCAGGUGGUGCAUGGCUGUCGUCAGCUCGUGUCGUGAGAUGUUGGGUUAAGUCCCGCAACGAGCGCAACCCUUGUCUCAUGUUGCCAGCGCGUUAUGGCGGGGACUCGUGAGAGACUGCCGGGGUCAACUCGGAGGAAGGUGGGGAUGACGUCAAGUCAUCAUGCCCCUUAUGUCCAGGGCUUCACACAUGCUACAAUGGCCGGUACAAAGGGCUGCGAUGCCGUGAGGUGGAGCGAAUCCUUUCAAAGCCGGUCUCAGUUCGGAUCGGGGUCUGCAACUCGACCCCGUGAAGUCGGAGUCGCUAGUAAUCGCAGAUCAGCAACGCUGCGGUGAAUACGUUCCCGGGC